GACAGAGGUGCCAAGCGUUAGGCGGAAUCACUGGGCUUAAAGCGUGUGUAGGUGGACUGGUAAGUACCUUGUGAAAUCCCAACGGCUUAACCGUGGAACUGCUGGGUAUACUGCUGGUCUUGAGCCAUCUAGGGGUUGCCGGAACAAACGGUGGAGCGGUGAAAUGCGUAGAUAUCGUUUGGAACGCCAAUGGUGAAAACAGGCAACUAGGGAUGUGCUGACACUGAGACACGAAAGCCAGGGGAGCGAACGGG
rnacentral:rRNA from 1 species